rnacentral:rRNA from 1 species
UGUUUAAUUGGAGGGCAAGUUUUGGUGCCAGCAGCCGCGGUAAUUCCAACUCCAAGAGUGUAUCUUAAUGUUGCUGCAGUUAAAAAAGCUCGUAGUUGAACUUCUGGCUAGUGGAGGUCCCCGGGAUCAUUCGCUAGUCAUCCGCUCGGAGAAGCAGUAUUUCCUUUACUGGUUUUACUGUAGACCCAGCAUUUUACUUUGAAGAAAUUUAGAGUGUUCCUGGCAGGCUUAGCUUGCAUAUAUUAGCAUGGAAUAAUGGAAUAGGACCUUGUCUGUUUUAUUGGUUGACAGAUAGGUAAUGAUUAACAGGGACAGUCGGGGGCAUUCGUACUCAGUGGCUAGAGGUGAAAUUCUUAGAUUCGCUGAAGACGAACUAAUGCGAAAGCAUUUGCCAAGGAUGUUUUCAUUAAUCUAAGAACGAAAGUUAGGGAUCAAGACGAUUAGAUACCGUCGUAGUCCUAGCCAUAAACUAUACCGACUAGGGAUUGGUGUGGGUCAGUAAUCCAUAUCAG